UACGUAGGGGGCAAGCGUUAUCCGGAUUCACUGGGUGUAAAGGGAGCGUAGACGGCGACGCAAGUCUGGAGUGAAAGCCCGGGGCCCAACCCCGGGACUGCUCUGGAAACUGCGGCGCUGGAGUACGGGAGGGGCAGGCGGAAUUCCUGGUGUAGCGGUGAAAUGCGUAGAUAUCAGGAGGAGCACCGGCGGCGAAGGCGGCCUGCUGGACCGUGACUGACGUUGAGGCUCGAGAGCGUGGGGAGCAAACAGG
rnacentral:rRNA from 1 species